AGAAGAGCUUGCUCUUUGGGUGACGAGUGGGGACGGGUGAGUAAUGUCUGGGGAUCUGCCCGGCAGAGGGGGAUAACUACUGGAAACGGUAGCUAAUACCGCAUAACCUCGCAAGAGCAAAGAGGGGGACCUUCGGGCCUCUCGCUGUCGGAUGAACCCAGAUGGGAUUAGCUAGUAGGUGAGGUAACGGCUCACCCAGGCGACGAUCCCUAGCUGGUCUGAGAGGAUGACCAGCCAC
rnacentral:rRNA from 1 species